AGUGAACGCUGGCGGUAGGCCUAACACAUGCAAGUCGAACGGCAGCACAGUAAGAGCUUGCUCUUACGGGUGGCGAGUGGCGGACGGGUGAGGAAUACAUCGGAAUCUACUUUUUCGUGGGGGAUAACGUAGGGAAACUUACGCUAAUACCGCAUAUGACCUACGGGUGAAAGCAGGGGAUCUUCGGACCUUGCGCGAUUGAAUGAGCCGAUGUCGGAUUAGCUAGUUGGCGGGGUAAAGGCCCACCAAGGCGACGAUCCGUAGCUGGUCUGAGAGGAUGAUCAGCCACACUGGAACUGAGACACGGUCCAGACUCCUACGGGAGGCAGCAGUAGGGAAUAUUGGACAAUGGGCGCAAGCCUGAUCCAGCCAUACCGCGUGGGUGAAGAAGGCCUUCGGGUUGUAAAGCCCUUUUGUUGGGGAAGAACAGCAGCAGGUUAAUCCCCCGCUGUUCUGACGGUACCCAAAGAAUAAGCACCGGCUAACUUUGUG
rnacentral:rRNA from 1 species